UCCAAAAGGUGUUUGAUGAAAUGU
rnacentral:siRNA from 1 species